rnacentral:rRNA from 1 species
AGUGAACGCUGGCGGCGUGCUUAACACAUGCAAGUCGAACGAGAACGGGCUUUAGUUUACUAAAGUUGUCAGCUAAGUGGCGCACGGGUGAGUAAUAUAUAGGUAACGUGCCUUCAAGAAGGGGAUAACGUUUGGAAACGAACGCUAAUACCCUAUAUGCCUUUAAGUCUUAAGACUGCAAGGGAAAUAUUUAUAGCUUGAAGAUCGGCCUGUACAGUAUCAGUUAGUUGGUGAGGUAAUGGCUCACCAAGACAAUGACGCUUAACUGGUUUGAGAGGAUGAUCAGUCACACUGGAACUGAGACACGGUCCAG